rnacentral:rRNA from 1 species
UACGAAGGGAGCUAGCGUUGUUCGGAAUCACUGGGCGUAAAGCGCACGUAGGCGGAUGUGUCAGUCAGGGGUGAAAUCCCGGAGCUCAACUUCGGAACUGCCCUUGAUACAGCACAUCUGGAGUCCGGAAGAGGUGGGUGGAAUUCCUAGUGUAGAGGUGAAAUUCGUAGAUAUUAGGAAGAACACCGGUGGCGAAGGCGGCCCACUGGUCCGGUACUGACGCUGAGGUGCGAAAGCGUGGGGAGCGAACGGG